rnacentral:rRNA from 1 species
UAGGGAAUCUUCCGCAAUGGACGCAAGUCUGACGGAGCAACGCCGCGUGAGUGAAGAAGGUUUUCGGNNCGUAAAACUCUGUUGUUAGAGAAGAACAAGUGCUAGAGUAACUGUUAGCGCCUUGACGGUAUCUAACCAGAAAGCCACGGCUAACUACGUGCCAGCAGCCGCGGUAAUACGUAGGUGGCAAGCGUUGUCCGGAUUUAUUGGGCGUAAAGCGAGCGCAGGCGGUUCCUUAAGUCUGAUGUGAAAGCCCCCGGCUCAACCGGGGAGGGUCAUUGGAAACUGGGGGACUUGAGUGCAGAAGAGGAGAGUGGAAUUCCAUGUGUAGCGGUGAAAUGCGUAGAUAUAUGGAGGAACACCAGUGGCGAAGGCGACUCUCUGGUCUGUAACUGACGCUGAGGCUCGAAAGCGUGGGUAGCAAACAGGAUUAGAUACCCUGGUAGUCCACGCCGUAAACGAUGAGUGCUAAGUGUUGGAGGGUUUCCGCCCUUCAGUGCUGCAGUUAACGCAUUAAGCACUCCGCCUGGGGAGUACGACCGCAAGGUUG